rnacentral:rRNA from 1 species
AUUGAACGCUGGCGGCAGGCCUAACACAUGCAAGUCGAGCGGAUGAAGGGAGCUUGCUCCUGGAUUCAGCGGCGGACGGGUGAGUAAUGCCUAGGAAUCUGCCUGGUAGUGGGGGAUAACGUCCGGAAACGGGCGCUAAUACCGCAUACGUCCUGAGGGAGAAAGUGGGGGAUCUUCGGACCUCACGCUAUCAGAUGAGCCUAGGUCGGAUUAGCUAGUUGGUGGGGUAAAGGCCUACCCAGGCGACGAUCCGUAACUGGUGUGAGAGGAUGAUCAGUCACACUGGAACUGAGACACGGUCCAGACUCCUACGGGAGGCAGCAGUGGGGGAUAUUGGACAAUGGGCGAAAGCCUGAUCCAGCCAUGCCGCGUGUGUGAAGAAGGUCUUCGGAUUGUAAAGCACUUUAAGUUGGGAGGAAGGUCAGUAAGUUAAUACCUUGCUGUUUUGACGUUACCAACAGAAUAAGCACCGGCUAACUUCGUG